GCCCGAUGUUAGUGUGAGCCGCCAGGGACACAUAAAUAUGUUGACUGAUAUCUUCCUCCUUGAUGAAAACCAGGCGGGAGGAUGGAAGAAGCUGAGUAGAGAAAUGUUUGUCCUCCUUUAAUCAUGUGGUGGUUUGGCCCGUGCCCUGCUCUGACCAUCAGGAGUACUUCCUCUGUCUCCAACCUGCAGCCAGGAAGUCCUCCAACAGUAAGUUGAGAGUCUGUUUUGACACAAUGGGCACCAUCAUCAGUGUGGAGGGAAUCUCAUCACCCAGAACCAAAUCUAACAAAAGCUAAUUCCAACCAAUGUCUUGUUGUUGUUGUUGUUGUUGUUGUUGUUGUUGUUAGAUAGAGGGGAUAGAGGGGAUACAGGCCAGGCCAGAGGUGGAUAGAGGGGAUACAGGCCAGGUCAGAGGUGGAUAGGGGGGAUACAGGCCAGGACAGAGGAGGAUAGAGGGGGAUACAGGCCAGGGCAGAGGAUAGAGGGGGAUACAGGCCAGGACAGAGGAGGAUAGAGGGGAUACAGGCCAGGACAGAGGAGGAUGGAGGGGGAUACAGGCCAGGACAGAGGUGGAUAGAGGGGAUACAGGCCAGGACAGUGGUGGAUAGAGGGGAUACAGGGUGAUACAGGCCAGGUCAGAGGUGGAUAGAGGGGAUGCAGGCCAGGACAGAGGUGGAUAGAGGGGAUACAGGCCAGGUCAGAGGUGGAUAGAGGGGAUACAGGCCAGGACAGAGGUGGAUAGAGGGGAUACAGGCCAGGUCAGAGGUGGAUAGAGGGGAUAGAGUCCAGGACAGAGGUGGAUAGAGGGGAUACAGGCCAGGACAGAGGUGGAUAGAGGGGAUACAGGCCAGGCCAGAGGUGGAUAGAGGGGAUACAGGCCAGGACAGAGGAGGAUGGAGGGGGAUACAGGCCAGGACAGAGGAGGAUAGAGGGGAUACAGGCCAGGACAGAGGUGGAUAGAGGGGAUACAGGCCAUGACAGAGAAGGAUUAAGGGGACACAGGCCAGGACAGAGGAGGAUAGAGGUGCUACAGGCCAGGACAGAGGAGGAUACAGGGGAUACAGGCCAGGACAGAGGAGGAUAGAGCAGAUACAGGCCAGGACAGAGGAGGAUAGAGGGGAUACGGGCAGGAGUCAACCAUUUAUGGUUUUUCUUGAACUAUCAGACUACGGGCCCCAUUCUAGGAAAACUGGUUACCAGGUUUCCAAGACACGUAGGACAGAGCCUUUAGGUUCUAGAAACAUUAACUAAAAUGAAUAGAGCUUUUAUGGCAUCACACACAGCAACACUAGGACAAAGUUAGGCUUUUUCAGUCACAAC
rnacentral:lncRNA from 1 species